rnacentral:rRNA from 1 species
AGUGAACGCUGGCGGUAGGCCUAACACAUGCAAGUCGAACGGCAGCACAGUAAGAGCUUGCUCUUACGGGUGGCGAGUGGCGGACGGGUGAGGAAUACAUCGGAAUCUACUUUUUCGUGGGGGAUAACGUAGGGAAACUUACGCUAAUACCGCAUACGACCUACGGGUGAAAGCAGGGGAUCUUCGCACCUUGCGCGACUGAAUGAGCCGAUGCCGGAUUAGCUAGUUGGCGGGGUAAAGGCCCACCAAGGCGACGAUCCGUAGCUGGUCUGAGAGGAUGAUCAGCCACACUGGAACUGGGACACGGGCCAGACUCCUACGGGAGGCAGCAGUGGGGAAUAUUGGACAAUGGGCGCAAGCCUGACCCAGCAAUGCCGCGUGGGUGAAGAAGGCCUUCGGGUUGUAAAGCCCUUUUGUUGGGAAAGAAAAGCAGCAGGUUAAUACCCCGCUGUUCUGACGGUACCCAAAGAAUAAGCACCGGCUAACUUCGUG